rnacentral:misc_RNA from 1 species
GAUUUUCUCUCUUCGCCUUCGCCUCAAUUGAGGAAAGCGGCCAUAGACAUUGUUCAAGGUUUAACUGGGUCUGAGGAUGGGCUGCAGUCACUUGCCAACCAUCCGAACGUCCUGCUGCCAUCAUUAGCUCGACUCUUGAGAGAACCAAAGGAUGUUGCAGAACGUGCAGCUGAAGCUCUUGUAAAUCUUUCACAAAAUUCUGAUCUGGCUGCAAAGAUGAUAGACUUGGGACUGAUUGGAGAAGUUAUGAAUCUUU